rnacentral:rRNA from 1 species
GAUGAACGCUAGCGGGAGGCCUAACACAUGCAAGCCGAGCGGUAUUGUUUCUUCGGAAAUGAGAGAGCGGCGUACGGGUGCGUAACACGUGUGCAACCUGCCUUUAUCUGGGGGAUAGCCUUUCGAAAGGAAGAUUAAUACUCCAUAAUAUAUUGAACGGCAUCGUUUAAUAUUGAAAGCUCCGGCGGAUAGAGAUGGGCACGCGCAAGAUUAGCUAGUUGGUGAGGUAACGGCUCACCAAGGCGAUGAUCUUUAGGGGGCCUGAGAGGGUGAUCCCCCACACUGGUACUGAGACACGGACCAGACUCCUACGGGAGGCAGCAGUGAGGAAUAUUGGUCAAUGGGUGCAAGCCUGAACCAGCCAUCCCGCGUGAAGGACGACUGCCCUAGGGGUUGUAAACUUCUUUUGUAUAGGGAUAAACCUACCCUCGAGAGGGUAGCUGAAGGUACUAUACGAAUAAGCACCGGCUAACUCCGUG